UCUAUGGUGCUGAACAGGAAGCUCUGCUGAUAGCCAGGUGUAGUGGUGGUAAGGAUUCACUCUGGUGCUGAACAGGAAGCUCUGCUGAUAGCCAGGUGUAGCAGUGGUAAGGAUUCACUCUGGUGCUGAACAGGAAGCUCUGCUGAUAGCCAGGUGUAGUGGUGGUAAGGAUUCACUCUAUGGUGCUGAACAGGAAGCUCUGCUGAUAGCCAGGUGUAGCUGUGGUAAGGAUUCACUCUAU